CUCUGUGACUCCUACGGGAGGCAGCAGUGGGGAAUAUUGCACAAUGGGCGCAAGCCUGAUGCAGCCAUGCCGCGUGUAUGAAGAAGGCCUUCGGGUUGUAAAGCACUUUCAGUUGUGAGGAAGGUGGUGUCGUUAAUAGCGGCAUCAUUUGACGUUAGCAACAGAAGAAGCACCGGCUAACUCCGUGCCAGCAGCCGCGGUAAUACGGAGGGUGCGAGCGUUAAUCGGAAUUACUGGGCGUAAAGCGCAUGCAGGUGGUUUGUUAAGUCAGAUGUGAAAGCCCGGGGCUCAACCUCGGAACUGCAUUUGAAACUGGCAGACUAGAGUACUGUAGAGGGGGUAGAAUUUCAGGUGUAGCGGUGAAAUGCGUAGAGAUCUGAAGGAAUACCGGUGGCGAAGGCGGCCCCCUGGACAGAUACUGACACUCAGAUGCGAAAGCGUGGGGAGCAAACAGGAUUAGAUACCCUGGUAG
rnacentral:rRNA from 1 species